AACGAACGCUGGCGGCAGGCCUAACACAUGCAAGUCGAGCGCCCCGCAAGGGGGGCGGCGGACGGGUGAGUAACGCGUGGGAACGUACCCUUUGCUACGGAACAGCCUCGGGAAACUGGGAGUAAUACCGUACGUGUCCUUCGGGAGAAAGAUUUAUCGGCAAGGGAUCGGCCCGCGUUGGAUUAGGUAGUUGGUGGGGUAAUGGCCUACCAAGCCGACGAUCCAUAGCUGGUUUGAGAGGAUGAUCAGCCACACUGGGACUGAGACACGGCCCAGACUCCUACGGGAGGCAGCAGUGGGGAAUCUUAGACAAUGGGCGCAAGCCUGAUCUAGCCAUGCCGCGUGAGCGAUGAAGGCCUUAGGGUUGUAAAGCUCUUUCAGGGGGGAAGAUAAUGACUGUACCCCCAGAAGAAGCCCCGGCUAACUCCGUG
rnacentral:rRNA from 1 species